rnacentral:rRNA from 1 species
ACUGACACUGAGGGACGAAAGCGUGGGGAUCAAACAGGAUUAGAUACCCUGGUAGUCCACGCUGUAAACGAUGAGUACUAGCUGUUGGAGUCGGUGUAAAGGCUCUAGUGGCGCAGCUAACGCGAUAAGUACUCCGCCUGGGGACUACGGCCGCAAGGCUAAAACUCAAAGGAAUUGACGGGGACCCGCACAAGCGGUGGAGCAUGUAGUUUAAUUCGAUGCAACGCGAAGAACCUUACCUGGUCUUGACAUCCUGCGAUCUUUCUAGAGAUAGAUUGGUGCCUUCGGGAACGCAGUGACAGGUGCUGCACGGCUGUCGUCAGCUCGUGUUGUGAA